UGUGAGCAAGGCCAAAUGCUGUGUUUAUUAGGACAUAACUUCCAGCAUAAGGCCAUCAUCCUUGGUUUCUCAAGCUUUAGGGGUCGUAUUCAUCACAAAAUUGCCUCCACGCAUGCAACUAAAUCUUGGUGGGUAACCUGAGUGACACUGUAACCGAGAUGGCCUCCAUGCCGCGGCCCACGCUGGCCCCUGUCGGCCUGGUGUUUGUAAUUACUGCGUGUGUCACAGAGGGAAGGGGACGGGGCCAUGCAGGAGACGACUGAGGACAGAUGGCUGGAGGAUCAGCCCUACGCAGGAGACGUGACAAGCCACAACACUGCUCACCACAGAAAGCUGACAGUGAAGGAGCCUCCUGCCGGGAGCCUGGAAGCUCUUUCCAGUGCUGUCCAACAAGCUGCCAUCGCUAACGUGUUCAUACGGCCAAGACCGCGGGGACCGGAGGAACAGUGCUGUAUGUUAAAAGGGAUGAAGAGCAGGAAACAGGCAUCUGCUGGUAAUCCUGCCCUGAAUCAUUGCCUGGUCAAUAAAUGACCGCUGAUAUCUGAACUCAGACGGUUGAAGAGGCAUUGUCAAAACUGAAUUUCCGCCGCUGUCCGUUUAAGUGGACCCCUAACAAGGGAAAGUCGGUCCAGUAUUAACAUGCAGGAAGCACCGUUGUCUUAGGUCCUGCGUAUUAAGCAUAUGGCACUUAGUCGAUGCAAAACACUGAAUUAUUUAUGGG